GACGAACGCUGGCGGCGUGCUUAACACAUGCAAGUGGAGCGACGAACCGGGGCUUGCCCCGGGGCAGAGCCGCGAACGGGUGAGUAACACGUGGGUAACCCACCCCGAUGACCGGGACAACCCGAGGAAACUCGGGCUAAUACCGGAUGUGCUCCUUGACCUCGAGGUCAAGGCGUAAAGAUAGCUUCGGCCUUCGCAUCGGGACGGGCCCGCGGCCCAUUAGCUUGUGGUGGGGUAAAGGCCUACCAAGGCGACGAGUGGGUAGCUGGUCUGAGAGGACGAUCAGCCACACUGGGACUGAGACACGGCCCAGACUCCUACGGGAGGCAGGCAGUGGGGAAUCUUGCGCAAUGCGCGAAAGCGUGACGC
rnacentral:rRNA from 1 species